UCCAUGUGCUGAACCUCAGGGUUACAUCUUCAACAGUGCCUGGCUCUAAACAGAUUUACACAAUGAAAAUUAAAUGCCUCUAAAGGGUAUUCCAUAUGGUACUCUCCCCUGGAGUAAAUGCUGUGGACUGGCUCAUGUUUCUCCACUUCCAAUCUGUACUCUCUUUUGAAGAGUGACUAUACAUGGAUAACCAGUGAUUCUGACCGACGGAGUUCAUCAAGGCUUUACGCUCAAAAUCUUACUGUUUCACUGGUCUGAUUCACUCCCAUACACCGAAAAGCUCUCUUCAACUUGGAAUUCAGGCUUGGGUACUCGAAGAGCCUGUAUCAGCCAAAUUGUAAAGACAACAGGAGAUCUCAACCAAAAGAGAGAAGUUCAAAGGAUUUCUGAUGUUUCCUAUGCAAAGGAAAACGUUUCCUAUGCAAAGACUAUCAUUCAGUUAUUCUUCACUCAUAAACCAUUACAGGUGAACUACGGAUGCCAGCAAGAACAUGAUGCCUGGAUUCAAAUAUUUUAUAGCUUUUAAAGUGGGAGCAGAUAACUAUCCUCUCCCUUUCUAGUGAACGUUGGCUUUGAAAGAUAUCUGUUUUUAAAAAGGCAUCUUAAGGUGCCUGACACUGACAAUUACUCUGCUUUAUACAACUGGACCUUUACAGUAAGGAAAAAGAUACAGCCUUAAGAAAUAAUAAUAAAAAAAACAAAAUCCUCCACAUUCUUGCAACACACAGCUGAGCAAACAAAUGUGGAAACAGAAAGCAGUCAGAAAGUCAAAAAAAACAGGACUGACAAGGCACCACCACUAAGAAUAUUGCCAAGAUCAUCAUGGCCUCCUCCAUCCCAGCACCACAGGUUUUAGCGUUGCAUAAUGAUGUUUAGAAUAACCUCAUGCCAUGAAUACUGCAACCCAAAAGGUCUUUUCUUUUGGAGAUUGCCUCUUCCCACUGCUGGUCUUCUCAACAAGAUCAGGCUUUGUUUGUGGCUUCAGUGACCUGCCGCAGCUUUAGUGAUUCCAGGAGGAAGAAAGAGACAACAGCAACAACCUGUGUAUGUAUGCUGUGUGUUGCAUUUUUUUUUCUCAUUUCCCUGUUGUGUCUUUGCCAUGUGUUCAAAAUAGCAGAUGAAUCAAGAAGAUCACAUGGUUUCAGGUGUAAAGCAUCAUUUCUACUUGCUGAACAGCCUUUGUAUGUUGUGUUAUUUCCUCUUCUGAAGGAUAAAUGUUUUGGAGAGGAGUGUGUCUGUAGCUGCUCUGCUCAUGUCACUCUUCCUCCCUCUAACUGUUUCUUCAGAGGUGGGUUUGGAGAGCAAGUCUGAAUUCACGUAAAAACAGAGGCAGCCCACUGUAGUGUUAAUACAAAGAAACAUCACUGCAUAACUGCAUCUUGGAUUUGCUAUCAUAAGUGUUUUUAAAUUAAAUCUAAACUGCUCAAGAUUGCAGUCAGAAAAGACAGUAGCAACUUGAUUAGCUACUUCCACAGAUAUAUAUUUAAAGGAGUUUUCCUCACAGCAGAACUGUGGCGCCCUCACCGCUUAUAUACUUAUACACACUACAUCAUGAUGUCCGGUACAACAAAUGUUUUUAA